AUUGAUCGCUGGCGGCAUGCUUUACACAUGCAAGUCGAACGGUAACAGGUUAAGCUGACGAGUGGCGAACGGGUGAGUAAUGCAUCGGAACGUGCCCGGUCGGGGGGGAUAACGCAGCGAAAGCUGCGCUAAUACCGCAUACGAUCGGAGGAUGAAAGCGGGGGACCGUAAGGACUCGCGCGCUCGGAGCGGCCGAUGUCAGAUGAGGUAGUUGGUGGGGUAAAGGCUCACCAAGCCAACGAUCUGUAGCUGGUCUGUGAGGAGGACCAGCCACACUGGGACUGAGACACGGCCCAGACUCCUACGGGAGGCAGCAGUGGGGAAUUUUGGACAAUGGGCGAAAGCCUGAUCCAGCAAUGCCGCGUGCAGGAAGAAGGCCUUCGGGUUGUAAACUGCUUUUGUACGGAGCGAAAAGGUCUCCUCUAAUACAGGGGGCUCAUGACGGUACCGUAAGAAUAAGCACCGGCUAACUACGUGCCAGCAGCCGCGGUAA
rnacentral:rRNA from 1 species